rnacentral:rRNA from 1 species
GCGAGUGAAGCAGCCAAAGCUCAAAUUUGAAAGCUCCUAACAAGGCGCAUUGUAAUUUGAAGAUGGUAUUCCGAGUUAGUCCUUUACCUCAGUUCCUUGGAACAGGACGCCAUAGAGGGUGAGAGCCCCGUGUGGUAUUGGUAGCUUUCUCAUGUGGUUUACCUUCGAAGAGUCGAGUUGUUUGGGAAUGCAGCUCUAAGUGGGUGGUAAAUUCCAUCUAAAGCUAAAUAUUGGCGAGAGACCGAUAGCGAACAAGUACUGUGAAGGAAAGAUGAAAAGAACUUUGAAAAGAGAGUGAAAAAGUACGUGAAAUUGUUGAAAGGGAAGGGAAUUGGACUAGACUUGGAUUUCUGUUAUCAGCAGUCUCUCGGGGCUGUGCACUAGCAGUUUUCUAGGCCAGGAUCUGUUUGGAGGCCAGGAUAAAACCCAAAGAAUGUGGCUCUUCGGAGUGUUAUAGCUUUGGUUGAAUACUGGCAUUCUGGACAGAGGACCGCGCUUCGUGCUAGGAUCCUGGCGUAAUAGUCCUAUUCCACCC